rnacentral:rRNA from 1 species
UACGUAGGGCGCAAGCGUUAUCCGGAAUUAUUGGGCGUAAAGAGCUCGUAGGCGGUUUGUCGCGUCUGCUGUGAAAUCCCGAGGCUCAACCUCGGGUCUGCAGUGGGUACGGGCAGACUAGAGUGCGGUAGGGGAGAUUGGAAUUCCUGGUGUAGCGGUGGAAUGCGCAGAUAUCAGGAGGAACACCGAUGGCGAAGGCAGAUCUCUGGGCCGUAACUGACGCUGAGGAGCGAAAGGGUGGGGAGCAAACAGGCUUAGAUACCCUGGUAGUCCACCCCGUAAACGUUGGGAACUAGUUGUGGGGUCCAUUCCACGGAUUCCGUGACGCAGCUAACGCAUUAAGUUCCCCGCCUGGGGAGUACGGCCGCAAGGCUAAA